rnacentral:rRNA from 1 species
ACUUACGCUAAUACCGCAUACGUCCUACGGGAGAAAGCGGGGGAUCGCAAGACCUCGCGCGGUUGGAUGGACCGAUGUGCGAUUAGCUUGUUGGUGAGGUAACGGCUCACCAAGGCGACGAUCGCUAGCUGGUCUGAGAGGAUGAUCAGCCACACUGGGACUGAGACACGGCCCAUACUCCUACGGGAGGCAGCAGUGGGGAAUAUUGGACAAUGGGCGCAAGCCUGAUCCAGCAAUGCCGCGUGUGUGAAGAAGGCCCUCGGGUUGUAAAGCACUUUUAUCAGGAGCGAAAUCUGCAAGGUUAAUACCUUUGCAGUCUGACGGUACCUGAUGAAUAAGCACCGGCUAACUCCGUGCCAUCAGCCGCGGUAAUACGGAGGGUGCAAGCGUUAAUCGGAAUUACUG